rnacentral:rRNA from 1 species
GACAGAGGGUGCAAACGUUGCUCGGAAUUACUGGGCGUAAAGCGCGUGUAGGUGGACUGGUGUGUCAGAUGUGAAAUCCCUGGGCUCAACCCAGGAACUGCACCUGAAACUACCAGCCUUGAGUGGUGGAGAGGGAAGUGGAAUUCCUGGUGUAGGAGGUAGUAAUUCGUAGAUAUCAGGAGGAACACCAGUGGCGAAGGCGGCUUCCUGGACACCAACUGACGCUGAGACGCGAAAGCGUGGGGAGCAAACAGG